AACGAACGCUGGCGGCAUGCCUAACACAUGCAAGUCGAGCGGAGAUGAGGUGCUUGCACCUUAUCUUAGCGGCGGACGGGUGAGUAAUGCUUAGGAAUCUGCCUAUUAGUGGGGGACAACAUUCCGAAAGGAAUGCUAAUACCGCAUACGUCCUACGGGAGAAAGCAGGGGAUCUUCGGACCUUGCGCUAAUAGAUGAGCCUAAGUCGGAUUAGCUAGUUGGUGGGGUAAAGGCCUACCAAGGCGACGAUCUGUAGCGGGUCUGAGAGGAUGAUCCGCCACACUGGGACUGAGACACGGCCCAGACUCCUACGGGAGGCAGCAGUGGGGAAUAUUGGACAAUGGGGGGAACCCUGAUCCAGCCAUGCCGCGUGUGUGAAGAAGGCCUUAUGGUUGUAAAGCACUUUAAGCGAGGAGGAGGCUACUGAGACUAAUACUCUUGGAUAGUGGACGUUACUCGCAGAAUAAGCACCGGCUAACUCUGUGCCAGCCGCCGCUGUAAAAC
rnacentral:rRNA from 1 species